rnacentral:rRNA from 1 species
UGGGGAAUAUUGCGCAAUGGGCGAAAGCCUGACGCAGCGACGCCGCGUGCGGGAUGAAGGCCUUCGGGUUGUAAACCGCUUUCAGCAGGGAAGAAGCGAAAGUGACGGUACCUGCAGAAGAAGCACCGGCUAACUAUGUGCCAGCAGCCGCGGUAAUACAUAGGGUGCAAGCGUUGUCCGGAAUUAUUGGGCGUAAAGAGCUCGUAGGUGGUUCGUCACGUCGGAUGUGAAACUCUGGGGCUUAACCCC